UACGUAGGAUGCAAGCGUUGUCCGGAAUUACUGGGCGUAAAGGGCGCGCAGGUGGCAUUACAAGUCUGAUGUGAAAUCUCCCGGCUUACUGGGAGGGGCCAUUGGGAACUGUAGAGCUGGAGUGCAGGAGAGGCUAACGGAAUUCCCGGUGUAGUGGUGAAAUGCGUAGAUAUCGGGAGGAACACCAGUGGCGAAGGCGGUUCUCUGGGCAUUACCUGACGCUGAGGAGCGAAAGUGUGGGGAGCGAACAGG
rnacentral:rRNA from 1 species